UACGAAGGUGGCGAGCGUUACUCGGAAUGACUAGGCGUAAAGGGCAGGUAGGCGGUUCGGUUAGUCUGCUGUGAAAGCUCCCGGCUUAACUGGGAGAGGCCAGCAGAUACUGCCGGGCUUGAGUAUAGGAGAGGGUACUGGAAUUCCCGGUGUAGCGGUGAAAUGCGCAGAUAUCGGGAGGAACACCGAUGGCGAAAGCAAGUACCUGGACUAUUACUGACGCUCAGCUGCGAAAGCUAGGGGAG
rnacentral:rRNA from 1 species